UCGGGAAUAUUGCGCAAUGGAGGAAACUCUGACGCAGUGACGCCGCGUAUAGGAAGAAGGUUUUCGGAUUGUAAACUAUUGUCGUUAGGGAAGAAAAAAGACAGUACCUAAGGAGGAAGCCCCGGCUAACUAUGUGCCAGCAGCCGCGGUAAUACAUAGGGGGCAAGCGUUAUCCGGAAUUAUUGGGUGUAAAGGGUGCGUAGACGGGUGUCUAAGUUGGUUGUGAAAUCCCUCGGCUCAACUGAGGAACUGCAACCAAAACUGGAUAUCUUGAGUGUCGGAGAGGAAAGUGGAAUUCCUAGU
rnacentral:rRNA from 1 species